AUACGGAGGAUGCGAGCGUUAUCCGGAUUUAUUGGGUUUAAAGGGAGCGUAGGCGGGAGCUUAAGUCAGCGGUUAAAUGGUGCGGCUCAACCGUGCCCUGCCGUUGAAACUGGGUUUCUUGAGAGUGCCAGAGGCGGAUGGAAUUCAUGGUGUAGCGGUGAAAUGCUUUGAUAUCAUGAAGAACUCCGAUUGCGUAGGCGUUCCGUCGGUGCACAUCUGUCGCUGAUGCUCGAAGGUGCGGGAAUCAAACAGGAUUAGAUACCCUGGUAGUCCGCACGGUAAACGAUGAUUACCCGCUGUCGGCGGCAGACAGACGGCGGCCAAGCGAAAGCGAUAAGGAAUCCACCUGGGGAGUACGCCGGCAACGGUGAAACUCAAAUGAAUUGACGGGU
rnacentral:rRNA from 1 species